AUGCAGCUGACGAGUUCCCAAUAGGAUGGAACGAGCGUCCUGGAU
rnacentral:hammerhead_ribozyme from 1 species